rnacentral:lncRNA from 1 species
CAUUGACAACUUGGCCAGAAAUCUGGACACUGUAAGGGAGGAUUUAGUGCUGGGUCGUGCCCUGGGCUGAAUUUAUCGCUGCUUGCCUUGUUAACUCGCCUCAUGUUUAAAGUCAAAACUGCCAUAGGCUCUGAGGGAUUUCCAUCUUUGUCAUUUGUAUGAUCUGCCUCAAAAUACAACCUCCCAAGUAAGGAGCAUGAUUCCCCUCCUGCCAGGAAGAAGAAAGCAGAGAAUUGAGGGAUGCCGAAAUCGAUUUUUAAAGGGUUUGGGUUUGGGGCGGUUCCGGAUGAGGCUCUGUGCGCUAAGUGAGCGAGACGGGGAGGUGGGAGAGGACUGAGCGCUAUGGAAAGGUGGUGGGGACGCAGGUGAGGGCGACGCGGGGAAGCGCAUGGUCCUGGGGCCCGCAGACGGGACGGAGCAGCCGCGGCCCGCAGACGGGACGGAGCAGCCAGCGCCGCUUGUCGGGGCUUGUGGUUGCGAACAUAGAGUGGAAAGAGGAUUCUGCGCUCUGCUCCCGCCCCGGGAGAUUAAGAGUCAACCCUACCAUGCAGCCACGUUUUGCCAGUUCCAGUUACUUCGGUAACAAACAGAAAGAGGCCCAACCGAUGCCGAAAUCCAAAGAAAAAUAGACACUCGACACAGAAUAAGAACCAUGGCCUGGACCUACUACCUUCUCCAGACUUCCUGAGACCAACAUUACAGAUCACCGUUUGACCCUAUUCUGCCAUGACAUCGUUUCUUCAUCAAAGGACACCUGUGCUUUUGUGAUAUGUUUAUGUUCUAGUCUGGUUCUCAAAUUUUCAGGACCACAAGAUGCAUUUUAUCUGUUUACUCUGUAUGAUCCAAUGGUUGUAAAUUGAUUUGCACUAAUUAAACCCACAAAAGGCUGAUUCAUAAACUGAGAGAACAAUGUGUUAAAUUACAGAGAAAGAUUAAACUGGGGUGAGAAGCAAGGACAUGCAUUUGAAAGGCCACUGUAUUUGGGGUGAGUCCACCAUAGAAGCCAAACAGCAAAGCAAAGCAUGGCCUUGUCAACACAGAAUCAAUGCAAAGCUGUUUGUAUGUUGUCAUGUGAUAUUUCUAGAAAGUUCUGGUAGACUGAGAAUUUGCCUUUCAUGAUGGUUAUGCUUGAAAAACCAAGUCCAGUAUUUAGAAUGAGAUGGUCUUCUCCCUGGAGGGUGCCAGAGUGACAUUGAUAAAUUGUUACAGUUCAACCCUCAUUUUUCCCAUUGUCAAAGAAAGAUAUUCUCAUUCUGUUUGUACUUGUCAUUGUGCUUAGAUUAUCAAACUUACAGGUAACUUUUGUCAAUUAUACUUUGAUGGGUAAUUUAGAUUGUGGCAAAUAAAUCUAAGCAUCGUAGUGCAGCACCUAGGGGCUGGAAAAACAUUGGCAAUCAUCUAGUUCAGUGGUUUUCAAAUUGCAUCUCAUGGACCCAAUGGGCUGCUGGAUUAGGCAGCUAGAGGUGUGAGGAGGAAGCUGAGUAAGUAGGCUGUGGUCGGCCAUCAUCCCCUUGUAAGGAGCUUGAAUUAUUCAAAAUGCAGUAGUCACUGAUACAUUUUAGUAUAGAGUGACACAAUGAAGUUUACAUUUUAAAGAAUCAAUUUGAGUGAAGUGAUUGGAGAAGGCAAGCGUAGAAGACCACCAAGGAAGUUAUAUAGCAUUUGUCCAGAGCAGACAUGGUGGUGUUGGGGAUCAGGGUAAUAGCAAUAGAGUUAGAGAGAAGUGGAUGGAUUUCAGAUGUAAUUUAAAGUUACAAUCAGAUAGGACUUGGCUAGUGAGGAAGCAGAAAUUAUCAAGAAUUCACUCAUGUACCCCAAAUGGAAAAUUUACUGGGUACUAACAAUGGGCUAGGCACUGGGCUAGGUGUUCCGCUAGACAACCAAGUCCCUGCGCUUCCUGGAGUCCAUAUUCUAGUAGAAGGAGAGGGACAAUAGAUGAGCACACAGGGAAAAGCUAACGUGCUCUGAAAGAGCUUGGGAAAUUAAUUGUAGGACCCACACUGUUUUCCUUCUUUCAGAGAUCUCUGUUCUGAACCACCCGCUGUUACAAUCAACCAGUUAUCCAAUCCCCUCAAAAUCAUGCACAUGUUUUGCCUAUUUCUCAGUGUGGAAGAUGGAAAAGACAACCUACUUCCUGUUAUUUCAUCAUGGCCAGAAGUAGAAGAAACUUUCUCUUGCAUAAAUGUGGUACAAGGGACAAAGGAAAGGAAGAAGUCAAAACUCAUUACGCUCUGACUUAAUAGCACAGUAGACGGUUGUGAGACAGAACCAGAUGGCUUUGGAUUUAUUUUUGUUUCUUCCUCUCUUCCUCCCUUCCCUCCUUUCCUCCCUCCCUCCCUUCCUUCCUUUCUUUUGUAUGUGGGUUUUAAGUUUUGUUUUGUUUCAAAGAUUCCUGAGAGCAGAGUGAUGUGGAAAGGAUGGAAAUCGAUGGAAUGGCUCUGAACAUGUUGAGUUUGAAAUGUCUGUAGCACCUGUGGCACAAGAAAGUUCCAAGAGGAGGCCAGGGAUAUUCUUGAGUACUUGGGCAUAUGAAGAUAUAAUUCACUGAGAUGUAGAAUCUGUAGAAGGAGCAGAUUUCUGGAGAGAGAUUUAGCGCUCAGAUGUUGAGAUGUUAAUUUUGAAAUAUCUACGAGACAUUGAAAUAUCAACAUCAAGUAGGCAGUUCAAUAUUUACUUGUGGAGCUCAGAAAGAAGAGCUAGGCUGCUUAUAUAAAUUUGAGACUCUUCAACAUAGAGGUGGCAUUUAAAUCAUGGUAAAGGAUAAGGUUACUUUGGAAGAGAGAGAGAUUAAGGGAAAGCAGAAGAGGAAAGGAAGGAAGAGCACAGAAGAGAGACGAUAAGAGAG